UGAGGAACAUGACCUUCGGCGGGGAAUAGCCGGCCCAACGGCCGGGUAAUACCGCGUACGACCACUUUGGGACAUCCCUCGGUGGUGAAAGCAGCAAUGCGCCGAUGGAGUGCCUCGCGGCCUAUCAGCUAGUUGGUGAGGUAACGGCUCACCAAGGCGACGACGGGUAGCUGGUCUGAGAGGAUGGCCAGCCACAUUGGGACUGAGACACGGCCCAGACUCCUACGGGAGCAG
rnacentral:rRNA from 1 species